UACGGGGGGAGCAAGCGUUGUUCGGAUUUACUGGCGUAAAGGGCGCGUAGGCGGUCAGCACAAGUCAGUUGUGAAAUCUCCGGGCUUAACUCGGAAAGGUCAACUGAUACUGUGCGACUAGAGUGCGGAAGGGGCAACUGGAAUUCUCGGUGUAGCGGUGAAAUGCGUAGAUAUCGAGAGGAACACCUGCGGCGAAGGCGGGUUGCUGGGCCGAACACUGACGCUGGAUGCGCGAAAGCCAGGGGAGCGAACGGG
rnacentral:rRNA from 1 species